rnacentral:lncRNA from 1 species
CAUCACUGAAACUGUCGUUUAGAAAAAAUACCAGGCAGUUAGAGCCAAGUCUGGCACCCUCACUUGGGGAUGGAAGAGCUGCAGGCUGCUGUGGGGUGCCCACUGGGAGCUGGGGUAAAGCCACGCAGGACUCACAGCUGGAACAGCCUGCUCAGAAAUGCAACAGACUUGAAGGAAGACACCGGGACUGAAGCCCUGAUAUCUGAUCUUGCUGCUGGAAGAGAGCUCUGUCUGCAUAUAUUGUGAUUUUUUGCUAAUCAUUUCAUUCUUCUAACCUACCUCUGUCUGGAGUGUUAACAUCUGUCACUGAGGCUGUGAUCUCCUUCAUACCUCUUCAAUAUCUAGCAUGGCAAGACCUGAGUUCAGAUGGGAGCUGCUCUAAAACCAGCAUGCCACCACCACCACCAGUAAGCUUUAUUUGUUCCCAGAAGGCAACCUGAAGAGCAUCCCUCCUAGGACAACCAUUGCCCUGACAGAGCUCUAGCAUCUCUCUGCUUGGAGAAAUUCCUCCUUAAUAUACACAGGGAGACAUUUCAGAACCAUUACACAAUACAGAUUAAUUGACACUUUUAAAGAGAUUAAGCUGAUUCCCUCCCCUAAAUUCAGUAGCUACCCCAACUCCAUCUCAUUGAGAAAUCUUCAUCUGGCAAGAGUCAUGAAUUAUAAGCAAGAUAAAAUAUUUCAUUAAAAUACGGAUGGGGGAAAUAGGAAGCACGUUCUCUUUUUUUUUUUUCCCUUUUCUUUUUUUUUUUUUUUUUUUUUUUUAAUAUGGCUAAAACCCAUUUUGCUUCAAAAGCAAAUACUUUGCCAUUUUUCAGGUCACUAAGUUGGAUGUUAUAAAUCCAUCAUCAGUGUUUCCUUACAGCUAUAGUAGCUGACACAUCUGAAUCACCGGGAGCUAAAAGCAUGCCAGAAGAAAUGAACACCAUCAAAACACGUCAGAAGGAGAUGUAGAGCAAUCGCUUCCCUAAUGUACCUGGCUGCUGACGGAACAAUAUUAGCUUGCUUUCUUUGAGAUUGGCCAUGCGUAAAAACGAGCUCCUAAUGAACAAAUGUCUGUCCAUGAAGGAAUUGAUUUAAGUGUAUCAAUUAAAAAUUGGCCUCGGUAUCACUGGAGGGAUGUUUUUAAGCAUAAUUAAUGCAAAAAGCAUAACAGCAUUCUUCUUGAGGUUCAAUCAAGAAUCUCGGAUGAUAGUGCAUACGCACCACUCCCCGCUUCCAGGGGAGUGUAAAUGACUCCCUCUUGUACUGAUCCAUUUAAGUAGUUGUAAAACCUUGAUUAUAUCCAUGUUAGAUGGUUUUCUGGGCAGAACAGGACUGCCCAGAAAAUAAUUUAUCCCUCCCCUAUAAAAUAUUACCAUUUCAUUAAAAAAAGAUGAAGAUGAUUGAGCAAAUAAUUGUGGAUAAAAUCAUUCCCAAGCUUUUGGUUUUCUGGUGAAAAAUAUGUGUUAAAAAGGCGCUUCUUCCUCAGAAAGCUCAAAGGUCAUGUUUAUGUCUAGAUUCAAGUAAACAAAUUUGUUGGUAAUAUUUCCACCAAGAGCAUCAUCUGCCCUACCUGAUAAUGCAAUAAGGUUAUAACUUUAAUCUGUGAAAGAAGAAAGUGCUAAGGAUUUGUAUGGCAGUAUCAUUAAUUGUAGGAUACUUCUAUAAAAAAUGCAUUAGGGAUGAGAGUUUUAAGCUUGACUAGUAAGCUGAAAUACCCUAAAAUGGGGGAUACCAAAAUCUUUCAGGUUUGAAACUGUUUUUCUCUCACAGAGACACAGUGUUCUGUGGUUUUGUCCCUCCCUGCUCUGUGGCAUGAAGAGGAGGGUCUGGAGUAAACUGUUGGGCAUCAAAAUAAUCCAAUUGAGAUACUUCAGUUUCCAUGUCAGAGAGGUCCCCAGGAAUGAGUAUGGCAAAGAGUGAGCUGUGGGCUAGGAGAAUUGCUGUGGCAAUCAAUAUGUCAGAUACCUCUCUCCCAAAGAACCCAUUCUCAUGUUCUUUCCAGAACUUUGUGAUACUGCCAUGGACAUAAAGAAGUCAGAAGUUAUGUCAAUGGCUUCUCUCAGAAAGACUGAAACUCAGUAUUUCCAUUUGUUUCUGGAUGUAAUCUGAACAGAACUGCAGAAUCCUGUGGCAAUUCAGUGCUUUAAAAUCUAGAUUUUACAAUAGGUGUUUGGGAGCACUUAUAUUACCAUGGAGGAUGAGGACAUUCCGCCACUCUAAAUGCAUUCCCAUUUCAGCUAUAACAUACCACCACAGUAUUAAAACCAAACAUCUGAAGAAAUGUUUUGGUUUUCUUUUUCUUUCUUUCUUUCUUUUUUUUUUUUUUUUAAUAAG